CAGUCGCCACGGUAAUACGAAGGGGGCUAGCGUUGCUCGGAAUCACUGGGCGUAAAGGGUGCGUAGGCGGGUCUUUAAGUCAGGGGUGAAAUCCUGGAGCUCAACUCCAGAACUGCCUUUGAUACUGAAGAUCUUGAGUUCGGGAGAGGUGAGUGGAACUGCGAGUGUAGAGGUGAAAUUCGUAGAUAUUCGCAAGAACACCAGUGGCGAGGGCGGCUCACUGGCUCAUACUGGACGCUGAGGUGCGAAAGCGUGGGGAGCAAACAGGAUUAGAGACCCCAGUAGUCCCUGUCUCUUAUAC
rnacentral:rRNA from 1 species